ACUCCUUUUUUAGCUUCUCCCAUACUUCUUUAGGUGUUUCACAAGCCAUUAUUCUUGUGAAAAUCACAUCUGAAAGUGUUGAAUGAAGACAUGUGAGAGCCUUGGGUUUCCUUGACUUCGCAUCUUCAUAAAUCUUCAUUUGUGCAACUGUUGGAUUUGGUCCAAGUGGAAGAGGAUCAUCUUCACUUUCAAUUAUUUCCCAUAGACUAAGAGCUUUGAGAUAAGCCUUCAUCUUUAUCACCCAUAUGUGAUAAUUUUCUCCUGUAAA
rnacentral:lncRNA from 1 species